rnacentral:rRNA from 1 species
UGAAUACGAGAUGCUACGGCGUCGAAGCAGUCUAUGUCAUACUUCCAAGAAAAGCUUGCACUGUCAUAAACAAAUAAUGCCUGUACCAUAACCGACACAGGUGGGUAGGUAGAGUAUACUAAGGGGCGCGAGAUAACUCUCUCUAAGGAACUCGGCAAAAUGACUCCGUAACUUCGGGAGAAGGAGUGCCUUAUUUAUAAGGUUGCAAUAACAAGAUCCAAGCAACUGUUUACCAAAAACACAGGUCUCCGCUAAGUCGUAAGACGAUGUAUGGGGGCUGACGCCUGCCCAGUGCCAGAAGGUUAAAGAAGUUGGUUAGCAUCCGCGAAGCUGAUAACUGAAGCCCUGGUGAACGGCGGCCGUAACGAUAACGGUCCUAAGGUAGCGAAGUUCCUUGUCGGGUAAGUUCCGACCCGCACGAAAGGCGUAAUGAUUUGGAUACUGUCUCGGAGAGGGGCUCGGUGAAAUAGACUUGUCUGUGAAGAUGCGGACUACCUGCACCAGGACAGAAAGACCCUAUGAAGCUUUACUGUAACCUGAAAUUGAAAUUGGACUUUACUUGCGCAGUAUAGGUGGGAGGCGUUGAGAAUAUUCUUGCGGGAUUAUUGGAGCCAUCAGUGAGAUACCACUCUUGUAAUGUUAGAUUUCUAACUUUGUAUCAUUAUCUGGUCAAAGAACAGUUUCAGGCGGGCAGUUUGACUGGGGCGGUCGCCUCCUAAACGGUAACGGAGGCGCACAAAGGUUUCCUCUGAACGGGUAGAAAUCGUAUCUAGAGUGUAAAGGCAUAAGGAAGCUUGACUGUGAGACCUACAAGUCGAGCAGGGACGAAAGUCGGUCUUAGUGAUCUGACGGUGCUGAGUGGAAAGGCCGUCACUCAACGGAUAAAAGUUACUCUAAGGAUAACAGGCUGAUCUCCCCCAAGAGUUCACAUCGACGGGGAGGUUUGGCACCUCGAUGUCGGCUCAUCGCAUCCUGGGGCGGUAGUACGUCCCAAGGGUUGGGCUGUUCGCCCAUGAAAGCGGUACGCGAGCUGGGUUCAGAACGUCGUGAGACAGUUCGGUCCAUAUCCGGUGUAGGCGUUAGAAUAUUGAGAGGAGCCUUCUUUAGUACGAGAGGACCGAGAAGGACAUACCUCUGGUGUACCAGUUAUCGUGCCAACGGUAAACGCUGGGUAGCUAUGUGUGGAGUGGAUAACCGCUGAAAGCAUCUAAGUGGGAAGCCCACCUCAAGAUAAGUAUUCUC